GGAACGGAGCUGCUUAAAUACUGUUCUGGAUAGGCCGAACCUGACGUCCAGGAAUUCAGAAGAAAGGGCUUUCGGUCCCCAAUGCAAUUUGCUGCAAAAAGAGUUUUCUCAUGUCUUUUCCCGGGCUGUAUCUGUCAACAGGAAGUAUCCAAGAAAGAAAUAAAACACCUCCAUGAUAUUUCAUGAAAGGGGCCUUAUUAAAACCCGGGCUCCUCAUCCCCGCUGGUCUACGACGGCAAGCUGCUCGAUCCCUGGACCCCUUGAAUCUUCAGCCUGGUCUGCAACCCCACAACCAUCUGGGGCCGUACAUGGACGAGGUCAUCGGCCCUCCUGUAGGAAUCCCUGCAAGUCGUUGACAAAAGACGCCUCCGCGUCCCCCAUCGAUCCUCGGCUGCCGAUGAUUAGGCAAGCGAGUAAGAUGUCCGAGUAAACAAGGAGGAACCCCAUUCCUGCAUUAGGAGAGGAAGGACGGACAGACGGAGGAGUGAAUUAAAGUGUGCCUGUGCGUAUGUGCAUGUGUCUGUGCGCGCACACUGCAGGGAAAGUGAGGGAAUCAGUCAACGCGAGUGAUUCACCUAAACUUAUAUAAAGUCGGUCUCUAAAUAUAGAAACUGCAGGGCUUCUAGAGCUGUGCCAAGACGAUCGACCACAUUGAUACUGGAGUGGCCCCACCCUGCCCUGGUCCUUGGGAGGAAGGAGGGUCUGAGGAGAACUGCAGUGCAUGCUGGGAACUCACCACGACACAUGGUGGCUGUGACAGUGAUGGACAUCGGUAACUGUAUCCCUCUCUGUGGUCAAUGUCACUGCCUCCCUCUCAGACGGGUUAAUGCGGGGUGCCAAUCGGGGUGCAGGAAGGGAGCCCCGUCAGGAAACAUAAAAGAACGCAAUGUUAAGGAGGCCAUGAGUCCAUGUUGCAUUCUCUGUGCUAUAAUGUUUAUACCAUGGCUUUUAUGUUGAACUUAAUUCAGUCACGCCCUUUAUUUAAAGCUGCCUGGCUUGUGGGGGUCUGACACCUACAAAUCCAGCAAAAACGCAGCCACAGAUUGGGGGAGGGUUUGUAGAAUCUCUGCUGAUCUGGAGCUGUUGUACUGCGAGCAGGUGUGCAUGUCUCUGCCGCUCUGCUCUGCACUCCCUGGGCUCUGCUCGCUCACAGCUCUCCCGGCGGAGAGAAGCUGACAGCCUGGCGCAAGGAAAGGAGCUCGGCGCACAAGCUUCAUGAAACAUUACGGGCAGACAGGCCUGGUCCGCGGAAGAUCGAUACCGCCAAUUGUUGUAAGAGAAUUAUACUGUUAGCGGAAGAGCGACGAGCAUCUAUUUACUCACUCGUAUAAACCCAGCGGGGAAUUCUGAGUCCCGAUGCGUUCACCUAAAGGAAAAAGACUGUGCUGAAGAAUUGGGAAGUUAACAUGCAGAGCUAGACCCUAGCAGGAGAGUAAAAGUCGCCUGUCGGAACUACGGUGUGUGCAGCCAAGGUGAUCGUAGCGGUUAAGCGCUAUUUGAUAUCUGUCCGUUUUCUUACGCUGGAAAAACGUCUGACGGGCGAUCGAUGAUCUUCCAGGGAGCAGCCGACAGAAUCCGCAGGACCGGAAACCCAAACCCGAAAGGCGGCUCUUGACCCUGCGCCUUCUGAUCUUCCUGCGCUCAGGAAAAUUUCUGAUUAAAAUAUUUAUGAUCCACCUGUGUCGAAAGACAUUUAAAAAUGAUUUUUAUGCGCUGGGAGAGCUGUGAGAGCAAGCGGUGCCAUUUUCGAUGUAAUUCGAAAAAGAUCAGUAGAGCUGAUAUACAUGGCUACAAAUGUGAUAACGUAUUUAAUCCGGGGACUUUGUUAACAGAAACCUAUUAGAACUGAAUUUCAAGUGGCAAGGUCAGUUUUACAGGCGAUGCUCAUUUAGCUGUGAGAUGUCACAUUGCAUCAGUUUUACUCUUUUACAUCAACAGAAAGAUCAUCGACGCUUGGUGAUUCAACACUGCGGCCCUAAUUACGCCGUAGAUAGCAUUUAGGGUGCCUGUGGAAUGUUCUGGAAGGGAGGUUACAUUUGUGGGUCCUCCCCGCCGGGCUCUGUCGGUGACAGUCAUUCAGCUGGCUGCCUUUCCGUGCCCGAACACCCUGCUUCCCCCUUCCUUCUGAGUGUGUUCACACCUGCGGGUAUUUUUGACAGAUCUCUGCAUCCGAGACUCCUCUGCCCCCUUCCCAAGGUUACGAGGAACUCCUGCCAAAUUCUCACCCGCCACGUCUCCAGCGCAGCUCACGUGUGACCUUCUUCGCUGGAAUCGGACUCGAGCCAUUGAAACCAAAAAAGUUUGCGCCCAAAGCUAAUGAUGGCAGCGCUUUGGGGCACCCUACAUUUCUGGAGAUGUUAUGGCACAAUCUCACAGGCUACCCAGAAAGAGGUAAACGCCCCCAGCCGGCAGAUCCCCUGAGAGCGACCAGGAGGCUACAUUUUAACGGUGUGAAGUGUUUGUGCAUAUUAAUUGAAUCAUGUACUAAUGUUCUAAAGUACUUUGGGACACAUUUCUUUUACGCCUAGAAGAAAAUCUCCGCCUAAUACAGCAUUAACGACAGUGCAUCGCAGGUAAACAAACAGCACAACAAAACAAUCAACGUAACAACACGUCUCUGAAAGCCGCCGAGGCCUCCCGUCCCUUCGUAUUCAAAUCCGCUGUGCUUCUAUAGGAACAGAUGUGCACCUUUUAAAAUUUGGGUAUCUGUGAUUUCUGCGCUUAAUUGCACAUAAAAGGUCAUCAGGCUUUUACAAAAGGCGCGGGGAGAACACAGGUUGUCACACAGCGGUGACACAAAGCAGUCCCUUAAAAAGAGCUUCAAAGCUGUCCAUUGGCACCCAGUGUCCAAUCCACCACAGGCAUUGUGGGUAUUCCCGGGGGCUAAUGCCUCACAUGAGCCACCUGUCACAUGAAAUGAAGUGUGCAGGACCAGACUCCAGUAAUAGUACACUUCUGGAAUGUUCUCUUUGUCACACUAGAUCACUUUUUGGGGACAUUUUUCCAGGACCAAUUCGGUUGGGCAGUAUAUAGCUGGUUGUACAAAUAAAAAUAACAGAUUUUUGUGGACAGAUUGGCAAUAGUCUUUAGUGGAGUUCUUAGUUUGUUUGAUAGUUUUCCUUCUGAUUUCCUUUAAUAUCCCAGGGUUUUUCAGGCGUUAACUCCAGUCUGUGGGAUUAGGCCAGCAAAUUUGCCUGAUCAAACCGAGGGCAAAUCCACAGCAUGCCUUCGCUAGUCCUGCAGAUUUAUGGCUGCAUGUCUCCUUUUUGGCGUAUAAUUCGGACAGGACACUGUAAGUCCCGAAAAACCGACGUUAUACAUUAACGUCAUGGAGCAAGAAUGAUUGUGGAAAAGGAUACAGAAGUAACAUAGCCUUCAUUGUUUCAAAAUCCUGUAAAAUGACAUGGACAGCGAGCCUCUAAGCCAAUGUCUUCGUACGGCUCUUUUUCUAUUUAAAAUUGCCCUUCUCCCGCUUUUUUUUCGCCUCCCGGAUAGCGCUGCGUGUAUGAGAUUAUGCUUGGUUUUA